rnacentral:rRNA from 2 species
ACUUCAGGACGGGGACAACAGUUGGAAACGACUGCUAAUACCCGAUGUGCCGAAAGGUGAAACCUAAUUGGCCUGAAGAAGAGCUUGCGUCUGAUUAGCUAGUUGGUGGGGUAAGAGCCUACCAAGGCGACGAUCAGUAGCUGGUCUGAGAGGAUGAGCAGCCACACUGGGACUGAGACACGGCCCAGACUCCUACGGGAGGCAGCAGUGGGGAAUUUUCCGCAAUGGGCGAAAGCCUGACGGAGCAACGCCGCGUGAGGGAGGAAGGUCUUUGGAUUGUAAACCUCUUUUCUCAAGGAAGAAGUUCUGACGGUACUUGAGGAAUCAGCCUCGGCUAACUCCGUGCCAGCAGCCGCGGUAAUACGGGGGAGGCAAGCGUUAUCCGGAAUUAUUGGGCGUAAAGCGUCCGCAGGUGGUCAGCCAAGUCUGCCGUCAAAUCAGGUUGCUUAACGACCUA